rnacentral:rRNA from 1 species
ACACUCCUGCGGGAGGCAGCAGUGGGGAAUUUUGGACAAUGGGCGAAAGCCUGAUCCAGCCAUGCCGCGUGCAGGAUGAAGGCCUUCGGGUUGUAAACUGCUUUUGUACGGAACGAAACGGCCUUUUCUAAUAAAGAGGGCUAAUGACGGUACCGUAAGAAUAAGCACCGGCUAACUACGUGCCAGCAGCCGCGGUAAUACGUAGGGUGCAAGCGUUAAUCGGAAUUACUGGGCGUAAAGCGUGCGCAGGCGGUUAUGUAAGACAGUUGUGAAAUCCCCGGGCUCAACCUGGGAACUGCAUCUGUGACUGCAUAGCUAGAGUACGGUAGAGGGGGAUGGAAUUCCGCGUGUAGCAGUGAAAUGCGUAGAUAUGCGGAGGAACACCGAUGGCGAAGGCAAUCCCCUGGACCUGUACUGACGCUCAUGCACGAAAGCGUGGGGAGCAAACAGGAUUAGAAACCCUGGUAGUCCC